AUUGAACGCUGGCGGCAGGCCUAACACAUGCAAGUCGAGCGAGCGGCGGACGGGUGAGUAAUGUAUGGGGAUCUGCCUGAUAGAGGGGGAUAACUACUGGAAACGGUGGCUAAUACCGCAUACUAUCGGAUGUACCCAUAUGGGAUUAGCUAGUAGGUGGGGUAAAGGCACACCGAGGCGACGAUCCCUAGCUGGUCUGAGAGGAUGAACAGCCACGUUGGAACUGGGACAAGGCCCAGACGCCUACGGGGGGCAGCAGUGGGGAAUAUUACACAAUGGGCGAAAGCCUGAUGCAGCCAUGCCGGGUGUAUGAAAAAGGCCUUAGGGUUGUAAAGUACUUUCAGCGGGGAGGCGUUACCCGCAGAAGAAGCACCGGCUAACUCCGUGCCAGCAGCCGCGGUAAUUC
rnacentral:rRNA from 1 species